GACGGUCGGCGCUGGAGUCGGCGAGCUCUGCGCCGGACGCGGCGAGGCGGGGUCUGAUGGGCAUGGCAGGCGCUCGCUCGCUCCUCGCUCGCUCCUCGCUUGCUCCCUCACACACGCGCGGAGGGGAGGCGAAGCCGCAGCAGCCACUUCCCAACUUUCCAAACUUCCCAGCGCAACUUUUUCCUCUCCUCCCCUACCCGCUCCUCCUCCUCCUCCCUCCUCCUUCCCUUUCCCCUGGCCUGCUCCCCGCCGGGCCGGAGCUUCCGCGCGCCGCCGCCAGAGGGUGCCCGGGCCGAGGACCUGCUCGGCGACUCGCAGGCUCAGAGGGCCCUACAAGAGACAAAAUAUGUAGACAUUGGCCUCAGGAAUUAGAGUCCAUGUUCCUUUCCACAAGAAAGAGGAAUGAACCAAAGACACCUCGAAGUGAUAAAGCAGGGCUGCAAAUGCAACACACAACAGUACCACUGGACCAGUUUCUGAGGAGGAAUCAUCUUCAUGUGCAGAAAUCUAGCUCCAUCCUGUGA
rnacentral:lncRNA from 1 species